CCCAGGACUCCUUGACGCCGGAACAGCUUGCGGAGGCACCUGGCGCGGAGGUGUCUUGCUUCCGACGGGUCUAGGCUCCUUGUCCCGUUCCGGUUUCUGUUUCGCGAGUGUGCGGCCCUCGUGUGGAGGAUGGCCGGGAAGUGGCUCAGAAACUGCGACUUGCAGCUGGGAUCAUUGUCCAGCCAUUUUCCAAGGCGGCUAAGGCAAUUAGUGUGUAAUUUUAAACUGUUUUGCGGCUGGAACUGAGGCUUGAAGCUAAGGCCUUCUGACCGAGUAGUGCUUGCGGUUAGAAUCUUAUGUUGGAAAUGGAGCCAUCCAGAAGAAGACCAGGAAGUGUACAGAGUUCAGCC
rnacentral:lncRNA from 1 species